rnacentral:rRNA from 1 species
GGAUUAGAUACCCUGGUAGUCCACGCCGUAAACGAUGUCGACUAGCCGUUGGAGUCCUUGAGGCUUUAGUGGCGCAGCUAACGCGAUAAGUCGACCGCCUGGGGAGUACGGCCGCAAGGUUAAAACUCAAAGGAAUUGACGGGGGCCCGCACAAGCGGCGGAGCAUGUUGCUUAAUUCGACGCAACGCGCAGAACCUUACCCAGCCUUGACAUCCUUGGAACCCUUCCGAAAAGUUGGGGUGCCUCCUCACGGAGGAACCAAGUGACAGGUGCUGCAUGGCUGUCGUCAGCUCGUGUUG